rnacentral:rRNA from 3 species
GAAGGUGGCCUGUGAGGGUUGCUGGAGGUAUCAGAAGUGCGAAUGCUGACAUAAGUAACGAUAAAGCGGGUGAAAAGCCCGCUCGCCGGAAGACCAAGGGUUCCUGUCCAACGUUAAUCGGGGCAGGGUGAGUCGACCCCUAAGGCGAGGCCGAAAGGCGUAGUCGAUGGGAAACGGGUUAAUAUUCCCGUACUUGGUGUUACUGCGAAGGGGGGACGGAGAAGGCUAUGUUGGCCGGGCGACGGUUGUCCCGGUUUAAGCGUGUAGGUGUGUGUUCCAGGUAAAUCCGGUUCACUUUAACACUGAGGCGUGAUGACGAGGCACUACGGUGCUGAAGCAACAAAUGCCCUGCUUCCAGGAAAAGCCUCUAAGCAUCAGGUAACAUCAAAUCGUACCCCAAACCGACACAGGUGGUCAGGUAGAGAAUACCAAGGCGCUUGAGAGAACUCGGGUGAAGGAACUAGGCAAAAUGGUGCCGUAACUUCGGGAGAAGGCACGCUGACACGUAGGUGAAGUGAUUUACUCA